rnacentral:rRNA from 1 species
GACCUACGGGAGGCAGCAGUGAGGAAUAUUGGUCAAUGGUCGGGAGACUGAACCAGCCAAGCCGCGUGAGGGAUGAAGGUACAGAGUAUCGUAAACCUCUUUUGUCAGGGAACAAAGGCGGGGACGUGUCCCCGGAUGAGUGUACCUGAAGAAAAAGCAUCGGCUAACUCCGUGCCAGCAGCCGCGGUAAUACGGAGGAUGCGAGCGUUAUCCGGAUUUAUUGGGUUUAAAGGGUGCGUAGGCGGAAUAUCAAGUCAGCGGUAAAAAUUCGGGGCUCAACCCCGUCGCGCCGUUGAAACUGAUGU